GAGUGGCGAACGGGUGAGUAACACGUGGGUAACCUGCCCAUCAGAAGGGGAUAACACUUGGAAACAGGUGCUAAUACCGUAUAACACUAUUUUCCGCAUGGAAGAAAGUUGAAAGGCGCUUUUGCGCCACUGAUGGAUGGACCCGCGGUGCAUUAGCUAGUUGGUGAGGUAACGGCUCACCAAGGCCACGAUGCAUAGCCGACCUGAGAGGGUGAUCGGCCACACUGGAACUGAGACACGGCCCAGACUCCUACGGGAGGCAGCAGUAGGGAAUCUUCGGCAAUGGGCGAAAGUCUGACCGAGCAACGCCGCGUGAGUGAAGAAGGUUUUCGGAUCGUAAAACUCUGUUGUUAGAGAAGAACAAGGAUGAGAGUAAAACGUUCAUCCCUUGACGGUAUCUAACCAGAAAGCCACGGCUAACUACGUGCCAGCAGCCGCGGUAAUACGUAGGUGGCAAGCGUUGUCCGGAUUUAUUGGGCGUAAAGCGAGCGCAGGCGGUUUCUUAAGUCUGAUGUGAAAGCCCCCGGCUCAACCGGGGAGGGUCAUUGGAAACUGGGAGACUUGAGUGCAGAAGAGGAGAGUGGAAUUCCAUGUGUAGCGGUGAAAUGCGUAGAUAUAUGGAGGAACACCAGUGGCGAAGGCGGCUCUCUGGUCUGUAACUGACGCUGAGGCUCGAAAGCGUGGGGAGCAAACAGGAUUAGAUACCCUGGUAGUCCACGCCGUAAACGAUGAGUGCUAAGUGUUGGAGGGUUUCCGCCCUUCAGU
rnacentral:rRNA from 1 species